GGAAGUCUAGCACUUACAGAGGAUGGUAAUAUUGUGAAGCAACAGUGUAUUGAAAUUAUGAAAUAAGAGUUUUUCAUGCAAAUGUGAGGAAUUUGCUGAGGACAAGUAAGAAGAAGGCCAAUUCCUAUUGUGCAAAUCCUCUGGUCACUGGCUUCAACUAAUAAGGACAAGCAAAGGCCCAGGAAGUCAUUUCCCUCCUACAAAGAUCAUUGCAAUGAAUGGGAACUGGUGCUUUCUGUGGCUCACGCCCAGUGGGUCUGAGGGGAAAUAGAAUUAAUAAAACUUUAAACACAGUAAGUGCUAAAUGAACACUUCAUGAAUUGAAAGCUGGCUAGAAAGCCAGCUAUGAUGACAUAUUCUAGAACCACUGGCUGGGGAGGAAAAAAAGCAGAUCACCAAAUA
rnacentral:lncRNA from 1 species